rnacentral:rRNA from 1 species
GGCUUAAUUUGACUCAACGCGGGAAAUCUCACCAGGCCCGGACACUAGAAGGAUUGACAGAUUGAUAGCUCUUUCUUGAUUUGGUGGGUGGUGGUGCAUGGCCGUUCUUAGUUGGUGGAGUGAUUUGUCUGGUUAAUUCCGAUAACGAACGAGACUCUGUCCUGCUAAAUAGAUUCAACCUUUUUAUUGGGUUGAAAUUUCUUCUUAGAGGGACUGGUGAUUAUUAGUCACACGAGAUUGAGCAAUAACAGGUCUGUGAUGCCC